GACGAACGCUGGCGGCGUGCUUAACACAUGCAAGUCGAACGGAAAGGCCCUGCUUUUGUGGGGUUCUCGAGUGGCGAACGGGUGAGUAACACGUGAGUAACCCGCCCUUGUCUUUGGGAUAACUUCAGGAAACUGGGGCUAAUAUCGGAUAGGAGCUCCUGCUGCAUGGUGGGGGUUGGAAAGUUUCGGCGGUUGGGGAUGGACUCGCGGCUUAUCAGCUUGUUGGUGGGGUAGUGGCUUACCAAGGCUUUGACGGGUAGCCGGCCUGAGAGGGUGACCGGCCACAUUGGGACUGAGAUACGGCCCAGACUCCUACGGGAGGCAGCAGUGGGGAAUAUUGCACAAUGGGCGGAAGCCUGAUGCAGCAACGCCGCGUGCGGGAUGACGGCCUUCGGGUUGUAAACCGCUUUCGCCUGUGACGAAGCGUGAGUGACGGUAAUGGGUAAAGAAGCACCGGCUAACUACGUG
rnacentral:rRNA from 1 species